rnacentral:rRNA from 1 species
GAGCUUGCUCCCGGAUGUUAGCGGCGGACGGGUGAGUAACACGUGGGUAACCUGCCUGUAAGACUGGGAUAACUCCGGGAAACCGGAGCUAAUACCGGAUAGUUCCUUGAACCGCAUGGUUCAAGGAUGAAAGACGGUUUCGGCUGUCACUUACAGAUGGACCCGCGGCGCAUUAGCUAGUUGGUGAGGUAACGGCUCACCAAGGCGACGAUGCGUAACCGACCUGAGAGGGUGAUCGGCCACACUGGGACUGAGACACGGCCCACACUCCUACGGGAGGCAGCAGUAGGGAAUCUUCCGCAAUGGACGAAAGUCUGACGGACCAACGCCGCGUGAGUGAUGAAGGUUUUCGGAUCGUAAAGCUCUGUUGUUAGGAAAAAACAAGUGCAAGAGUAACUGCUUGCACCUUGACGGUACCUAACCAGAAAGCCACGGCUAACUACGUGCCACCAGCCGCGGUAAUACGUAGGUGGCAAGCGUUGUCCGGAAUUAUUGGGCGUA